CUGACGCGAACUUCCCAUUCCAACGCUUGUGUGCAUUGGAGACAGCGGAACCUAUUCUGCGGUUGUGUGGGAAAGAAAGGCAAACACAGUAACCCCAAGAAAGACUGCACCCAAAUGGAUGGACGAACAACCAAUGUGCAAAAGACAACAAAAUGUGCAAGUACAAAAGAAAAAAAGUGAAGCUGACUACAACAGACUGUUUUCUAAGCUACCAUUAGAGAAGACCUCAGUGAUAAAGACCUACGCUGGUGAGAAAAUGUCUCCCAAAGGCAGAGUGAAAGUGAACGUGAUCAAUGGAGGCCAAACACAGCAGUUGGAGUUUUAUGUAUUGUAAAGUGGCAGGCCAGCACUUUUUGAAUGCGAAUGGUUGAGAAAAGUCCAAUUGGACUGGCACGCACUCAAAUCUCUCAAUGUGUCAUCAUCUGGUGAACGCCACCCAAAUGGUAACACUAACCAGAGACUGUCAUAGCUACUUAAUGCAAAUGAAAAGGUGUUUGAGAAGGGGCUUGGUAAACUCAAAGGCAUGAAGGCCAGAAUUGGAUGUCAUCAUGACUGGCAAGAAUGAAGUAGAACAUCUUCAGAACCUUGGUAAAGUGCUAAGUGAAUAUGGUCUGCUCGCAAAGAGAGAAAUGUGAGUUUUUCAAGAAUGAAAUCUCAUAUUGUGGACAUGUCAUUGGCAAAGAUGGUUAACAUGAGUCACAAGAGAAGAUUGAAGCAGCGCUACAGGCAUCCAAAUGGGAAAAUGUGUUACAGUUCAGGUCAUACUUGGGUUUCUCCCAAAUAAUGUUAGUGCUGCACCCAUUGGAACGCACUGUUGCAGACAGGAGCAAAGUAGGAAUGGUCAGAAAGAUGUGAAAAGAGCAUUCAAGAAUACAAAAACUCUAAUAAAAUCAGAUGAUCUGUUCACCCAUUAUGACCCAUUGCUGCCCAUCUGACUGGCUGCAAUGCAUUCCCUUAUUGGAACCAUUUUGUCACACUCUGUGGCAGAUGGAUCUGAACAUCUGAUUGCAUCAAGAGUACUGAUGAGUGCAGAACACAACAACGCAUAGAUCGACCGAGAGGCCCUUAGUCUACUAUGGGGAAUAAAGAAGUUUUACAAAAGUUUACGCUAGUGACAGAUCAUCAGCCCUGUAUGUCCAUUUCAAUCCCAGGAGUGGAAUUUCAGUGGUGUCUGCCACCCUGUUACAAUGUUAGGCACUGUUCCAAAGAGCACUUUCUUAUGACAUAGAGUUCAAGGAUACCAAACAACACAGUAAUGUUGAUGGUUUGUCACGUCUUCUACUGUUGGCAACCAAAGAAGAAGAGGCUUUAUAAUGUGAGCCAGCAGAGAUGUUCCACACAACAUUGAUGGAACAGCUGCUGGUAAAAAAUUCUGAAAUGCAAAGUGAAACAAGGAAUGACCCGGUAUUGUCAAAAGUCUAUGAUGUCAUCAUGCAAGGAUUGUCAGCUCAUGGUAACCCUUUGUUUCCAGAAUUCCCUGUGAGACGAGACCAAAUAUCUGUGUCAAAGAACACUGAUGAGUGGAUCUCAUGUUGUGGUUCCCCCUAAACUGCACACCAGAGUGUUAGAGAAUCUGCAUGAAGGACACCUGAGUACAGUCAAGAUGAAGAGUCUUGCCUGAACCUCCGUGUGGUGGCCUGUAAUAGAUAUACAGAUUGAAGACUUGGCCAACAGCUGUUUGGGAUGCCAAAAAGUUCAAAAUGCACCCCAAAGGCAUCGUUACACCAAUAGGCAUGACCAUUGUCAUUAUUGCAUUGACUUUGCUAGGCCAUUCACGGCUCCAUUUUUUGAUUGUGUGGAUACUCAUUCGAAGCGGCUGGAAGUCAUCCCAAUGAAGUCAACCACCUCUGCUCUGCGGUCUACACCAGAAACUGCUUACCAGAACAAAUUGUGAAUGACAACGGACCACAAUACACUUCAGAAGAAUUCGGACUAUUCUUGAAAAAAAAGGCAUCAGACUUUUCAAGUCAGCUCCUCACCACCAGCAUCAAAUGGGUUAGCUGAAAGGUUUAUUCAUAUCUUCAAGAAGUCCAUUAAAGCAAUGGACAAGAAGGACAUUUCUGUACAGCACAAGGUGGACAAUCUCCUUUUUGUGUAUUGGAACUCUGUUCAUGCGACGACAAAUCAAGCACCUGCAAUGCUGUUCAUGAGCAGGAAUCUGAAAUCUUGCAUAGACCUCCUGAAGGAAGUGCAGAAUAAACAGAUCAACCAAUUGCCAAUUGAAUCAGCAAGGAGCUUUAAGGUUGACAUGAAGUCCUAGCACAUGAUUACCAAGAAAACAUGUGGACCCUUGGUAAGAUAGCUACAAGAACUGAACCACUGAUGUGCAUAGUGGAUGUUGGAGAUCAUACAUGGAGGUGUCAUGUGGACCAGAUGCUGGAUGAUCAACUGAAAAACACAGCUGAGUUGAUUGCAUCCAACAAGAUGGACACAUUGCAAUCACCGGACUUACCUGAUCACAUAACUGACAACAAUGUGACACCGGAAACGAAGAACGUUGUCUUAGACAAGACACCUACCAAACCUGAUGCCACUUCACAGUUCCAGAAGCGCUAUCCUGAAAGAAACAGAGUGCCACCCAAAACACUGAACCUUUAGUGAAGUUAGUUAUGGACUGUGAUUGUGAAAGUAUGUUUAUUUGAUUACAGUUUGUUUGCACGUGCAUUGUUUUCUGCCUUUCGAUCCCCCUCCCAAUGUGAAUACACCCGUUAAAGCCACCUCCCAUGUGCGUGCUUAUAUUUAAUUGAUAUGUAGUUGCAAAGACACAACACUUCCCUAUACAUACACACUCUUUCUCUACUAUGAUGGCAAUAUAAAAUGUUAAUCUGCCCGUAUACCACCACAAAACUUUCCCUUUAUUGGCAAGAUGCAGUGAAUUAUAAUAUGCCGCUGUAGCAGACUAAACAUAAAGCAUACAGUACAGUCCAGACCCUUUGGCCCAGAUGUUUUGCUGACUCUAACCUGCUGGAAUCAAAUUUUUUUUCCUAUUACAAGAUAUCUAAGUUUUUUCUGAGUUCAAAUUAUGUGCAAAAUUAAAUUAACUAAUUACAAUAGCCAAACUAUUUGUUAGAAUGGUUUUGAUUUUGAGACCAGGCAGAAAAGCUAAUACUGUCAAGCCGCAUUUGAAAGCCAUUUGAGACACAUAAAUGUUCUUGCAUACUUAUUGUAUGAUCAAACUAACCCUUCCCUCCUACACCUCCCAUAACCCUCCAUUUUUCUUCUAUCCAAGUGCCUAUUUAAAAGUCUUUUAAAUGUCCUUAAAAAGAUGUGAUCCCUUUUUUUAAUCCAACUUGAGAUACUAAUGAAGGACUGAAAUAAAAAGAUUACUGAAGAAACUUUUGACAGGACAAUUAUUACAAGUUAAGUAUACUGGAAUCAUAACAUGGCGAAUCAAAGCUCAAAAAUCUGAUUUGAAUUUGUAGUCAUACUCUGCAAGUUGAAAUUUGAUGGAAAGAUGUUUAUGCCGCUUAAUAUAUAUAAAAAAAUACAUCUGGAACAGUACAUGAUUGGGAAAUCCCAGUAGAGUUGGGCUUUUAGAAAUUGAACUAGAAAAUUUGUUUAAAUGCAUAGUGAAACUUAUUUCCAUCAUAAAGGGAAUACGUGAGGGAGCAUGGUUAUUAAAGUAGAUUAAAAUCUAGUUACCCUAGAAACAGAACCUUUUCUUUUGAUGUGCAAUCACAUUCUAUGAUAAAUAAACUUUUUUGGAAGGGUAGGGAAAGGAUCACCAACAAAAAAUUACCUGGGCAUUUCGAGAGACAGUUUGACAUUCUACAUGGAUUGGUACUCACUCAGAAAGUUGGUGUAACAUCUUGAGUGUAGUUGGUUCAAAUUUCAUUUCGUAUAAUUCUGGUGUGACAUGGCCCUCUUGGCUAUAACCUGCUGGAAUCAAAUUUUUUUUCCUAUUACAAGAUAUCUUUUUCUGAGUUCAAAUUAUGUGCAAAAUUAAAUUAACUAAUUACAAUAGCCAAACUAUUUGUUAGAAUGUUUUUGAUUUUGAGACCAGGCAGAAAAGCUAAUACUGUCAAGCCGCAUUUGAAAGCCAUUUGAGACACAUAAAUGUUUUUGCAAUAACAAUAUGAAGAUGCUUGAAUUCACAGCUUGGUUAUAAUUUGAUUCAGCAAUAGUUUGUUUUUUAAGGAUACAAAAAUAUAUCAAAUACUUUGAACCCAUUUCAUCAAAAUAAUGCUCUACCUGUAUUAAAUACAUGCACCAGGAUAAUACCUGUCAGCUUAACUAUUAUGCUUUAAUACUACAUUGCAUUAUAGCAUUAUCAGAAAGACAAUAACACACCCUGAGGUCAUUGAAGUGCUGUAGAAUGAGUUACGUGCUGUUUUAUAUUAGUAAUUUACACUGUAAAUUUAGUCAUUUCACAAAGACCUAAGAUAAAUGACUUCUGAUAAAAGCAAGAAUUAAUGAAGUUUAUGAUGUUAUUAUGGUUUCUAUGCACAAAUUUCACAAGGUUCUUCUCUGAUUUCACUAUUGGAAAUAGCAAUGAACUAUUUAUAACAUUGGACAUUUAGCAGAAUGCAGUUGAAAAUUCUUUAACAUUUUCAUUACUUAUAGUCAAACUUGUUUUAAUUAAUUUAUGUCAAAUAAUUAACUAUUCAUAUUACUUAGAAAUAAUGUGAAAACUGGUAUAAAGUGUUGAACUAUUUUUAUUCAUAAGGAUCUGAAAUGGGAUUUUUAUUUUGCUGAUGCAUAUUUUGAAAAUGUGAACUUCAACUAGAUUCAAGAUUUAAUAAUUGCACCUUCUGAGCCCUUCUUGCAUCUUUUUAUGGAUGGAUCUAAUUUCCACAGGCAAUAUGUUUCACUGCAUGUUUUGACUUUAAUACACCCGUCAUUCAUUUUUAACUUGAUUUGUAGGAAUUGAUUUAAAUUUGUUCCCCCACAUAUUUAUGUUAUUUAUAAAUGACCACAGCUUUACAGUCCAGAUUUUGUGGUGUCCUGCUUGUUUGUGACUAAAAUCUUAU